rnacentral:misc_RNA from 2 species
AACGCACAUUGCGCCCUUUGGUAUUCCAAAGGGCAUGCCUGUUCGAGCGUCAUUUGUACCCUCAAGCUUUGCUUGGUGUUGGGCGUCUUGUCUCCAGUUCGCUGGAGACUCGCCUUAAAGUAAUUGGCAGCCGGCCUACUGGUUUCGGAGCGCAGCACAAGUCGCGCUCUCUUCCAGCCAAGGUCAGCAUCCACAAAGCCUUUUUUCAACUUUUGACCUCGGAUCAGGUAGGGAUACCCGCUGAACUUAA